UGCAGAUGGGACAUUUCAUACUCAGGAAUUGGGGCUUCUGAGCUGGCUUCUGUUGAUGACAGUGUGUGGACAAGCAUCAGCUUUCUGCAACUGGUGUCCCCCCUUGAGUGACGAUGUGAUACCUGCAGUGACUUCUAAUAGCAGUACUUCUACUGAGGUUUGCUGGAGAAACUGAUGAAGGAAUAAUAAGAGAUUGUCCCAUCAGCGAGUCUACGCCCAGGUAAGGGACCAGCGAUUU